rnacentral:misc_RNA from 1 species
UAACCACUCAAGCCUCGGCUUGGUCUUGGGGUUCGCGGUCUCGCGGCCCUUAAAAUUAGUGGCGGUGCCGUCUGGCUCUAAGCGUAGUAAUUCUCUCGCUAUAGGGUUCAGGUGACCACCUGUCAGAACCCCCCAUUCUUUAC